rnacentral:rRNA from 1 species
UACGUAGGGGGCUAGCGUUGUCCGGAUUUAUUGGGCGUAAAGAGCUUGUAGGCGGUCUGUCGCGUCUGCUGUGAAAAUCCGGGGCUCAACCCCGGACUUGCAGUGGGUACGGGCAGACUAGAGUGUGGUAGGGGAGACUGGAAUUCCUGGUGUAGCGGUGAAAUGCGCAGAUAUCAGGAGGAACACCGAUGGCGAAGGCAGGUCUCUGGGCCACUACUGACGCUGAGAAGCGAAAGCAUGGGGAGCUAACAGG